AACGAACGCUGGCGGCGUGCCUAACACAUGCAAGUCGAGGGAGAAAGCCGCAAGGUGAGUAAACCGGCGAACGGGUGCGUAACACGUGGAUAAUCUACCUCUGUGACUGGGACGACUGGCCGAAAGGCUUGCUAAUACCGGAUAAGCCCACGGGGUCUUCGGACUCUGAGGGAAGAGGCGGCCUCUGUAUACAAGCUGUCACAUGGAGAUGAGUCCGCGGCCCAUCAGCUAGUUGGCGGGGUAAAAGCCCACCAAGGCAACGACGGGUAGCUGGUCUGAGAGGAUGAUCAGCCACACUGGAACUGAGACACGGUCCAGACUCCUACGGGAGGCAGCAGUGGGGAAUCUUGCGCAAUGGGCGAAAGCCUGACGCAGCAACGCCGCGUGUGUGAUGAAGGUCUUCGGAUCGUAAAGCACUGUCGCGAGGGAAGAUACGCCUCUGGCUAAUAUUCAGAGGCUAAGACGGUACCUCG
rnacentral:rRNA from 1 species